AGAGUUUGAUCCUGGCUCAGAACGAACGCUGGCGGCGCGUUUUAAGCAUGCAAGUCGAGCGGCAAGGGCCUUCGGGCCCCUAGAGCGGCGGACGGGUGAGUAACACGUGGACAAUCUGCCCCCCGGCCCGGGAUAGCCCAGGGAAACCUGGAUUAAUACCGGAUGAGACGGGACCCGCGAUGGCGGGACCCGGGAAAGGCGCUGCGGCGCCGCCGGGGGAUGAGUCUGCGUCCCAUUAGCUAGACGGCGGGGUAACGGCCCACCGUGGCGACGAUGGGUAGCCGGCCUGAGAGGGUGGACGGCCACAUUGGAACUGAGACACGGUCCAGACUCCUACGGGAGGCAGCAGCUAAGAAUCUUCCGCAAUGGGCGAAAGCCUGACGGAGCGACGCCGCGUGAACGAAGAAGGCCGUGAGGUUGUAAAGUUCUUUUCGGGAGGGGGAACAACCGUGGCAGGGAAUGGCCGCGGGAUGACGUGAAUCCCGGAAUAAGCCCCGGCUAACUACGUGCCAGCAGCCGCGGUAACACGUAGGGGGCGAGCGUUGUUCGGAAUCAUUGGGCGUAAAGGGUGCGCAGGCGGCCGUCCAAGUCUGGUGUGAAAUACCCCGGCCCAACCGGGGGGACGCGCUGGAAACUGGAUGGCUUGAGUACAGGAGGGGGAGUCGGAAUUCCAGGUGUAGGGGUGAAAUCUGUAGAUAUCUGGAAGAACACCGGUGGCGAAGGCGGACUCCUGGCCAUGUACUGACGCUGAGGCACGAAGGCGUGGGGAGCAAACAGGUUUAGAUACCCUGGUAGUCCACGCAGUAAACGAUGCACACUAGGUGGUGGGCGGUAGCGCUCAGUACCGUAGCGAACGCGUUAAGUGUGCCGCCUGGGGAGUAUGCUCGCAAGGGUGAAACUCAAAGGAAUUGACGGGGGCCCG
rnacentral:rRNA from 1 species